AAUCAAAGGAGGAAAAAAAAC
rnacentral:sRNA from 1 species